GACGAACGCUGGCGGCGUGCUUAACACAUGCAAGUCGAGCGGAAAGGCCCUUCGGGGUACUCGAGCGGCGAACGGGUGAGUAACACGUGAGUAACCUGCCCCAGACUUUGGGAUAACCCUCGGAAACGGGGGCUAAUACCGGAUACGACACAGCUUCGCAUGGGGUCUGUGUGGAAGGUUUUUCGGUUUGGGAUGGGCUCGCGGCCUAUCAGCUUGUUGGUGGGGUGAUGGCCUACCAAGGCGACGACGGGUAGCCGGCCUGAGAGGGCGACCGGCCACACUGGGACUGAGACACGGCCCAGACUCCUACGGGAGGCAGCAGUGGGGAAUAUUGCACAAUGGGCGGAAGCCUGAUGCAGCGACGCCGCGUGAGGGAUGACGGCCUUCGGGUUGUAAACCUCUUUCAGCAGGGACGAAGCGUAAGUGACGGUACCUGCAGAAGAAGCGCCGGCCAACUACGUG
rnacentral:rRNA from 1 species